GCACAAAGGGUCUGACAGUGGCACAAAGAUACACAGUGAGGGAGUGAAAACUCUACAGAAAGGGCAAGACAGGAAGGAGACAAGUGACACUGAAGAAGAGGAGGUGGAUGGAAACAGAAUGAGGCCAGCACGUAAACCAGGAAUGUCAAGGAAGCUAUUAGAUGUAAGAAAACAUCUUUCNUAAAAUGGCAGCUUUCCUNAUGAAGAAAACAAAAGGGAACACAAGUUGUGGCAAAAGGAACACACCACCCACUAGCUAUGAUGCUGAAGAGACUGUGUACCUGUGCGCACUCAACAGCAAGUCAGAUCAAAGGAGAGCUGAUCAGUGCUGCAUGAACUUCAAAGGAAGCUCAGGAACCAGCUCAGGGGCAGGUCUUCCAUCUGCAAUCACUGUGCCA
rnacentral:lncRNA from 1 species